rnacentral:sRNA from 1 species
GCUGGGUAUGGUGGAGCAUGCCUGUAAUCCCAACAGCUUGGAAGGCUGAGACAGGAGGAUUGUGAGUUCAAAGACAGUCUCAGCAAAUUAGUGAGGCCCUAAGCAAAACAGCAAGACUCUGUCUCUA